rnacentral:rRNA from 1 species
UACGGGGGGGGCAAGCGUUGUUCGGAAUUACUGGGCGUAAAGGGCUCGUAGGCGGCCCACUAAGUCGGGUGUGAAAUCCCCAAGCUUAACUUGGGAACUGCAUCCGAUACUGGAUGGCUUGAAUCCGGGAGAGGGAUGCAGAAUUCCAGGUGUAGCGGUGAAAUGCGUAGAUAUCUGGAGGAAUACCGGUGGCGAAGGCGGCAUCCUGGACCGGCAUUGACGCUGAGGAGCGAAAGCGAGGGGAGCAAACGGG